AUUGAACGCUGGCGGCAGGCCUAACACAUGCAAGUCGAGCGGAGCGGCGGACGGGUGAGUAAUGCCUAGGAAUCUGCCUGGUAGUGGGGUUUAACGUCCGGAAACGGGCGCUAAUACCGCAUACUAUCAGAUGAGCCUAGGUCGGAUUAGCUAGUUGGUGGGGUAAAGGCCUACCAAGGCGACGAUCCGUAACUGGUCUGAGAGGAUGAUCAGUCAGACUGAAAAGUGUGCACGGUCCAGACGCCUACGGGAGGCAGCAGUGGGGAAUAUUGGACAAUGGGCGAAAGCCGUAUCCAGCCAUGCCGCGUGUGUGAAGAAGGUGUUCGGAGUGUAAAGCACGUUAAGUUGGGAGGCGUUACCAACAGAAUAAGCACCGGCUAACGUCGUGCCAGCAGCCGCGGUAAUAC
rnacentral:rRNA from 1 species